GUCUAUGGCCAUACCAGCCUGAACGUGCCUAAUCCCGUCUGAUCUCAGAUGCUAAGCAGGUUUGGGCCUGGUUAGUACUUGGAUGGGAGGAGGGAACCUUCCUCCCCUCAAUGGGUAGAGGGAGCAAUUGAAU
rnacentral:rRNA from 1 species